UACGUAGGGACCGAGCGUUGUCCGGAAUCAUUGGGCGUAAAGAGCGUGUAGGCGGCCACUUAAGUCCUGCGUGAAAUCUUGCGGCUCAACCGCAAGCGGUCGUGGGAAACUGGGUGGCUAGAGUGCGGGAGAGGAGAGUGGAAUUCCUGGUGUAGCGGUGGAAUGCGCAGAUAUCAGGAGGAACACCGAUGGCGAAGGCAGAUCUCUGGGCAUUAACUGACGCUGAGGAGCGAAAGCAUGGGGAGCGAACAGG
rnacentral:rRNA from 1 species